GCCUACCAUGGUGGUAACGGGUAACGGGGUGUUAGGGCACGACACCGGAGAGGGAGCCUGAGAAACGGCUACCACACCUACGGGAGGCAGCAGGCGCGCAAAUUACCCAAUCCCAAUACGGGGAGGUAGUGACAAUAAAUAACAAUGUAGGGCUCUAUUGGGUCUUACAAUUGGAAUGAGUACAAUUUAAAUCUCUUAACGAGGAACAAUUGGAGGGCAAGUCUGGUGCCAGCAGCCGCGGUAAUUCCAGCUCCAAUAGCGUAUAUUAAAGUUGUUGCAGUUAAAAAGCUCGUAGUUGAAUUUCGGGGUUAGCAGGUCGGUCGUGCCAUCGGUAUGAACUGGCCUCGCUGAUCCCUCCCUCUUGACGAACUGUGAUGCCAUUAAUUUGGUGUCGCAGGGAAUCAGGACUGUUACUUUGAAAAAAUUAGAGUGUUUAAAGCAGGCUCACGCUUGAAUACAUUAGCAUGGAAUAAUGAAAUAGGACGUUUGAUCCUAUUUUGUUGGUUUCUAGGAUUGACGUAAUGAUUAAUAGGGAUAGUUGGGGGCAUUAGUAUUCAAUUGUCAGAGGUGAAAUUCUUGGAUUUAUUGAAGACUAACUACUGCGAAAGCAUUUGCCAAGGAUGUUUUCAUUAAUCAAGAACGAAAGUUAGGGGAUCGAAGACGAUCAGAUACCGUCGUA
rnacentral:rRNA from 1 species